rnacentral:rRNA from 1 species
UACAGAGGUCUCAAGCGUUGUUCGGAUUCAUUGGGCGUAAAGGGCGCGUAGGCUGCGGGGCAAGUCGGGUGUGAAAUCUCAGAGCUCAACUCUGAAACUGCACUCGAUACUGCUUUGCUUGAGGACUGGAGAGGAGAUUGGAAUUCACGGUGUAGCAGUGAAAUGCGUAGAUAUCGUGAGGAAGACCAGUAGCGAAGGCGGAUCUCUGGACAGUUCCUGACGCUGAGGCGCGAAGGCCAGGGGAGCAAACGGG